GGCGAGCUGGUGCACCGGGGCGCCCUGGUGGCUCUGGGCUACUGGAACGACCCGGCCCGUACCGCCGAGCGGUUCAAGCCGCUGCCCGGCGCC
rnacentral:tRNA from 1 species